ensembl:lncRNA
AAGAUAUAAGAGUUGCAAGGCUGCUUCUGCGGUUCCACAAUGGUGCACCAUUGAAUAAAAAAUAAAAUAAAAAGGUUCUUCAAUGAACCACUGAAAGAAAUGGUUCUUCAAAGAACCAUUGUUUGAAAGGUUCUUUGUGGCACCAAAAAAGGUUCUUCUAUGGCAUCAGUCUAAAGAACCACUUUUGGUUCCAGUUGGCACCUUUAUUUUUCUGAGUGUGCACGAGCUGAUUAGCAGUGGACUGGUCAGCUUUUUUCUGAUCUGGAAAAAUGCCCACAGCUGAUUCACAAACCAGUGACCCAGAGACAGAGUGAGCAGCAGCAGGCUGAGGCUGGUGAGAUCCAGCGCUGGCUGCUGGUUGACUUCAGCAACUGCAUUCAGAGGCACAGUUAGCAGCAGCAUGGCUCGAGAGAAACCAGGACAGUGCAGGAAUGUCAUCAGAACCACGCCUCUACCCAGAAUCAAAACUUCAUUGUGCUUUCUGGCACGCUGACCCUGUUUGCAGUUGUCCACACAUCUGUGGAGUGUGUGUGGUAGAAACACCCAAAGCAAGCUGUGACUGACAGCAGGUGGUGAUUCAGAAUGACUUCUAUUGACAGUCCUCAAAACGUUGUAUAAAUAUUACACCCCACCUAUUGUCAGGCGGGAGAUGGAGCCUGAUGUUUUGCAGAGCCUUCACCACAUAUGUGUUUUAAUAAAAUAAUUUGUGUUGACCCACAAAAAAAAACAAAAAAAAAAAAAAACAAAAAAAAAAAACACUUAUGUUACGACCCGGCUCAAAAGCCGCAACAUUAAAAAAAAAAAAAAAAAAGGAGAUGAAUAACAGAGUGUGGGUGAGAAGAAGUUUCAUCCUAAAAUGGAAAACCAGGUUGGCUAAAAUGGCUGGUGCCACCAAGGCAAAGACUAGUGCACUGCCGGAAAGCUUGCCUCAGGUAUGCUUUUAUCCACACCUGACUAGGUGUGGCCAAUUAGCACCAGCUGAAAACACUGAGACGAUUAAAAGCUGCAGAGGGACGUAACACCUCCUCCCUUAAAAGGGUUCCUCUAGGACCCUUAAAUUUAUUAAAAGCCCCUCUGAAGCCUUCAGUUCCUUGACCCACAAACCUGGAAUAAAAGUUAAAGCUAACAGAAGCACAGUGUUCACGUUAUAGUUGGCAUCUCUAAGCAUGGAUGGGCAUGAGGAUUUGAAGUUGCCACACUGAACAGACAAAAAGUAACAUGUGACCAACACAAAGGAGCACAACAGUCACAAACCCAAAAUGAUUACCUGAUCUGCUACAACACACAACCAAAAGUAGCAACAAAUAAUCACAACCAAGUGAUCUGUUGUCUCCACCACACAAACAGUCACAUACAAGUGGCCCUAUACCACAACAAGUUACUUUAAUCCAAAAAGUUCAGUAAAUCAAGCGUACUAGUGACCAACCACAAAAUGGAGAGCUAUGGCCACACAAUGAUCACAUCAAGGGUGGCUCAGCACCCCACAGUGUUAUUGCCAUCACCUGGCCAACAACACUCACAAGUGAUCCAACAAAAUAGCCAUAUUCCCCACAACACUAAAGGUCACAGCACAAAACACUCACCUCACAAGGAUCUCAUUAGCAUCCAUCCACACUGACAUAUGCACACACAGGGUGUGCACACAAUGCCAACUUAAAAACAGCCUACCUGCCUCAGCUACAGACCAUAAUCAUGAAUGGUCUCAAACCUCCUACCAAGUUUGGUGCCACUGAUUUACUAUGUGCAACUCCCAGCCUAAAACACUAAAAACAACAAAACCCUUACUUUUCCUACCCUAGUCUUCAGUGGUGUACCAGGCUCGAGGCAACUUUAAACGCGAACUCGAGAGCAGGCAGCAGACCAGAGAUAUAGUCUCCUACCAAACUCUGAAGCGUACCCC